rnacentral:rRNA from 1 species
UGGGGAAUAUUGCACAAUGGGCGCAAGCCUGAUGCAGCCAUGCCGCGUGUGUGAAGAAGGCCUUCGGGUUGUAAAGCACUUUCAGCGGGGAGGAAGGCGAUAAGGUUAAUAACCUUGUCGAUUGACGUUACCCGCAGAAGAAGCACCGGCUAACUCCGUGCCAGCAGCCGCGGUAAUACGGAGGGUGCAAGCGUUAAUCGGAAUUACUGGGCGUAAAGCGCACGCAGGCGGUUUGUUAAGUCAGGUGUGAAAUCCUCGGGCUCAACCUGGGAACUGCAUCUGAUACUGGCAAGCUUGAGUCUCGUAGAGGGGGGUAGAAUUCCAGGUGUAGCGGUGAAAUGCGUAGAGAUCUGGAGGAAUACCGGUGGCGAAGGCGGCCCCCUGGACGAAGACUGACGCUCAGGUGCGAAAGCGUGGGGAGCAAACAGG